UCUAUGAAUAAUGAAUAGGGAUCAAGGGGUGCCUCCUCCAGGGGCCAGGGGGUCUACUUAUAUAGUCCUCUCCAGUGAAUCUGGGCCGUCGAAUCAAACUGACAUUGAUUGAACGGUUAUCCUUGAUCCUUUAGGUCGGUGGAGCAUAAUUCUCGAAGAGAGUCCUGAUUGGACUCUAGGACAGGGCAGGCGCCCAAGGGGGGAGGGCAGGCGCCCUGCCCCCGAGCCCGCUCGGCUUCCCGUUCGUUCCUGUGGCUUUUGGAGUCUUCUAGAUGAUAGAAAAUUGCGCGGCACGUUAAUAUCUCUAUGUAAACCCGACAUGUGGGCCUUUCCUCCAUAUUUCCUGAUAACCCCCUACAGAAAUAGACAAACACCAAAACUCGUGGAAUUCUGUCAGAUAAAACCCUAAGUCUGGGUGUUGGUUGCAUUUGGAUCCUUUUCUUUAUUUAUUUGAUGAUUAUAUUUAGUACUUAAGGACCGUCAACAACUCCCCCAAGCUUACCUCUUGCUCGUCCCUGAGCAAGGAUAGACUCAAGAGUUUCUACAGUGGUUUCAUGCCUUAAAAGUACACAUGCGUUCAAGCAAGAUCUCAUCUCUGAGUUAGAGUAAACUGUUAAGACUUAAAACUUACUCAUUUUACCUUUCACCAUGGGGCUUGCAACCGUCACUUGUGUCUUGAGCAGUUAAAAGAUAGAAUGGUCUAGUCAAGCGCUAUGUCUCUUGUUCUUAGAUCAACUAUAGCUCUGGAGUUUUUGCAGAUUUUUAAAUAAAACUCAGAGAUUCCUUGUAUGACUCUCUCUAGUCUCUCUUUUGUGGUAUUUCUGGAUCCUUACCAAGGCAGUAAUGGUGUAUGCCUUCUCUCUCAUCCUACUCUAAUAAGGCUUUGAUAUCUGGAGCUCAUAGGUGGGAGACAGCUAAUACAUACUUACAAGACAUUUAUUGCAUAGUUAAACCAUGGAUCUAGAGAAACAAGUCAAUAAGUCAAAUCAAGAUGUGCAUGUGUGGCGAAUGAAUGGUGUAUGGUGAUGAUGAUGAAAACAAUGGUGAAAGUCUAAUUCUACUUUUGCUCUUUUGAGGGGAUAUAUACCUUUCUUGCUCUUUGAAACUUUUGAGGAGAAUGAGAUGCUCUAUAUAUAUUUUUUUCUUUUCUCUCAGGUGGGUAUCUUGUACCCCUAAUUCUACUGUCGGACACUUAUCCCUUUUUACCUCUCGUCUCACUUUUUAUUUUCUUUGAGGUUCCGGGCACUUGCCCUUUUUUAUUUCCUCGUAUUUUUUUCUUUUUCUUAAGAGCACUCACCCUCCUAGAAUAAUGUAGCAAGUGGUAGUAACCAAAAUAUCUCGAGCAUUUAUUUCACAGGGAAUAACAGGGAUAGGAUAAUGUUUUUGGCUAUUCUCUCCUAGAUAGGAGUAGAAUAAUUUUGGAUGAAUCUGGAUAUGAAAAUGAGUGGAUGUAUGUGGAUGCGUACUUUCGGAGUAGAAGCAGCAUGUGAGUGAACGUGCAAGUGAAUCUUGAUUUUAACCGCAUGACAAGCUCCUAAGGGUCUACACAGCUUGACCACACUCAAUGCUCAUAAGCAGUAAAAGGUAAAUGUAUGGUUCAUAGUCUAAUAAGCAUGUAUAUAUGGCUGUGGUAGGAUUUAAACUCUCAUCAUACAGGAACUCAUCAUGCAAUAUUUUAAAGAUUUUCAAAAGUUCUCUAGAAUUCUAGCAUCUCUAGGAACAGAUAAACAGCAGCUCAACCUUCACAUAUCAUAUCCGUUAACGACUUAGACUUUAGAUCAAGUACUCUUCCCACAAGUUCAGGUUUAGAGCAAAUCUUAAUUCAUAACAGUCAUGCCUAAACUUGAGAGAGAUUUCAAUUUUGAGAACUAGUCAUGGUAGAGCAACUAUUUAUCAUUUCCAUGUGAGAGCUUAUCAUGAGGGUUCAUAGCAAACUUUAUUUAUUUAUUUAUUUAGCAAACUAAGCAAAGAUAUAAGCACAAAAUCUUUAUUUGGGUUUUUAUGAUUAUACUUCUUUUUAUUAUUUGAGUAAAGUAUAAAUGCGAGUAGAAACACUUAGCUGGAUAAAUGGGUGUGCUCUCCCCCAAGCUGGAUUUUGACGUAAUUUCUUCUGAUGUAGCUAGCAGGUGGUGGAGGUGUAUUUGAAUGUCGGUAGCACCCUGACAGCGAUUAGGAUGUCCUCCGUUUGCUAGUCUUCUUUGAUCCUUGAAUUCUGUGGAGCUCAAAUAGACAACAAAGCUUUGUGGAACUGGUUAAGUGUUAGCAUAAAAAUAUCUUUGCCUUUAUCAUGUUGAGCUUCCUCUAAUAAAUAUUACUCUCUUUGGUAGGAUCAUAAAUUCAUUUUUAUAUUUUCAUUUUUAUAGGACAGAAAUAUUUUUAUUUUAGUGAAUGUACUUAUGGGUUUUAUGCCACGAGCAUACUCACAUGGGGCUUACUGUUUUUAACAUUUUUAUUUUCUUUUCAAGAUAGCAUGAUUAACUAACAAGCCAUUUAAGGAAAGUAAAUAAUUUAAGGGAAAAGGGAAUGCAAAAAGGAUAAAUAUGGAUAACUACCGAUUUUACCUUUCGGCAAGGGUUCAAUGUUUUAAGUCUUCUGAAUAAGGCUUCUCACCGUGUUCAUUCUUCAAGUGCGUCAUUUGAUUCAGGUGUGGACCUUGACAUCUGCACCUCUUGAUACGGUGUCACCCAUGUUCUUUGUUUGCCCAGUAGUUCGAAGUGCGGCGUUGGCAGUAUCUUGCUCAGUGUGUUUGUGCUCGUAGAUACAGGUCCUUCACUUGGUGGAGUCUGAGAGUUGAAAAAUCCUCCAUGUUUCUCAAAAUGUGUCCUGCUCAUAGAGACGAGGCAGAGAUCAAGUGCAUGGGUCUUGUUGGUGGAAAACACCAACAGAACCAAAAGUAUAUUUAUUCUUCUCUAUCCUUAAGCAUAGGGAGCAAGACAAAGUUGAUGGGUGAUAAGUUCAUGAGUGUAGCAUUUGUCAGAUCGGAUUGCUCAACCUUAUGGAAAGAUAAUCUAUCUAUGUAUAUGUCUUUUUCUUUAUAUCUCCCCAAAGAUUGAAUGUGCAACAUUUUAGCUCAUAUGAUUAGGAGUGUGGGAUCAUGGAGGUAGUACUAGGAACAAAGAUUAAAGGACUAAACAUGCUGAAUUAGUUGGGUUGGUUAAUUUGGAGUUAUAAAUCAUACAUGUUUGUCUCUUUAUUUAUGUGAACGCCAGAACCAAGGAGAAGCUUAUAAAAGUGAUAGUCAAGUACCUUAAGGUGUUACCUUACUUGAAGAGUGAUGGUACCGUCUCACCUUGUGGAAGCAU
rnacentral:lncRNA from 1 species